UACAGAGGUCUCAAGCGUUGUUCGGAUUCAUUGGGCGUAAAGCGCGUGUAGGCGGCCCGGUAAGUCCGCUGUGAAAGUCGGGGGCUCAACCCUCGGAUGCCGGUGGAUACUGUCGGGCUCGAGUACGGAAGAGGCGAGUGGAAUUCCUGGUGUAGCGGUGAAAUGCGCAGAUAUCGGGAGGAACACCUAUGGCGAAGGCAGCUCGCUGGGACGUUACUGACGCUGAGACGCGAAAGCGUGGGGAGCAAACAGG
rnacentral:rRNA from 1 species